CUGGCGGCGUGCCUCAGCACAUGCAAGUCGAACGAUUAAACUUUCCUUCGGGAAAGAUAUAAAGUGGCGCACGGGUGAGUAACACGUAGUGUAAUGUACCUUAUGGGUAGGUGUGAAUAACUUAGUGGAAACUUAAUGCUAAUACCUGCAUAAUGCAGCGGCUCCUUCGGGAGACAGUUGUUAAAGAUUUAUCGCCUAAAGAGCAGCCUGCGGCAGAUUAGCUAGUUGGUAAGGUAACGGCUUACCAAGGCUACGAUCUGUAUCCGACCUGAGAGGGUGGUCGGACACACUGACACUGAAUAACGGGUCAGACUCCUACGGGAGGCAGCAGUCGGGAAUUUUGGGCAAUGGGCGAAAGCCUGACCCAGCAACGCCGCGUGAAGGAUGAAGUCUUUCGGGAUGUAAACUUCGUAAGAAUAGGAAGAAUAAAUGACGGUACUAUUUGUAAGGUCCGGCUAACUACGUGCCAGGCAGCCGCGGUAAUACGUAGGGACCAAAGCGUUGUUCGGAUUUACUGGGCGUAAAGGGCGCGUAGGCCGGCGUGCACAAGUCAAUUUGUGAAACUCUCCGGCGCCUUAACCUCGCGAACGGUCAAUUGCAUACUGUUAUGUGC
rnacentral:rRNA from 1 species